rnacentral:rRNA from 1 species
GAUGAACGCUAGCGGCAGGCCUAAUACAUGCAAGUCGAACGGUGUCUUCGGACAUAGUGGCGCACGGGUGCGUAACACGUAUGCAACCUACCUUACAUUGGGGGAUAGCCUUUCGAAAGGGAGAUUAAUACCGCAUAAGACAGUAGCUGGGCAUCCAGCAGCUGUUAAAGAUUUAUCGAUGUAAGCUGGGCAUGCGUCCAAUUAGCUAGUUGGGGAGGUAACGGCUCACCAAGGCAAUGAUUGGUAGGGGAACUGAGAGGUCAAUCCCCCACACUGGCACUGAGAUACGGGCCAGAGUCCUACGGGAGGCAGCAGUAGGGAAUAUUGGGCAAUGGACGCAAGUCUGCCCCAGCCAUGCCGCGUGCAGGAUGAAGGCGUUAUGCGUUGUAAACUGCUUUUAUACAGGAAGAAACGACUCUUGCGAGAGGCAUUGACGGUACUGUAUGAAUAAGCACCGGCUAACUCCGUGCCAGCCGCCGCCGUAACAC